AGGAAUGUUACUCAUCAUCAUUUCGAGUUCUGCCAAACAAUGCAAUUUCCUCCUCGGCCAUCUUUUUUGCAGCCCUCUUCUGCAUCCUUCUGGUUUCUCUGGCAGCUGAAUCAAUUUGAACUUUCUCCAUUACUGUACCAAAACCGGGAACUGUCCUGUUCAGCUUGUUGUACACUCGUACACUGAGGUCGUGGAAUAUUUGAAACAAUCGAAUGACAUCCUUAUUCCAUUCAGCGAUAUAUGGAGGGCCUGUUGUGUAUGAACCAAGAGGCUCGCGGUACCAUUCACCACCAUAUGUUAUUUGAUCCAUGGCUUGUUCAACACUUAGAACCUCCCAUGGCCUCAAUCCAGGAAUAACCUUCUCUAGUUCUUUCCUGAGAUCUUUUGGGAUAUAUUUGUUUGGCAUGUGGUCAGCCUCCAAAAUUGAUGUCAGCUCUGAGCCACUAGCCCAAAGAAACAUGGUAUGACUCGGAAUCCUUACACCAGGCCAGACACCAUCAUUUGCUUCUAGCACAGCCAAAUCACGCCUUCUACUUUCAUAAGCUUCUUCUUGCAUCUGCUUAUAUGUCUUUGGCU
rnacentral:misc_RNA from 1 species